rnacentral:rRNA from 1 species
GACGAACGCUGGCGGCGUGCCUAAUACAUGCAAGUAGAACGCACAGUUUAUACCGUAGCUUGCUACACCAUAGACUGUGAGUUGCGAACGGGUGAGUAACGCGUAGGUAACCUGCCUGGUAGCGGGGGAUAACUAUUGGAAACGAUAGCUAAUACCUCAUAAUAUUAAUUAUUGCAUGAUAAUUAAUUGAAAUGUGCAAUUGCAUCACUACCUGAUGGCCCUGCGUUGUAUUAGCUAGUAGGUGAGGUAACGGCUCACCUAGGCGACGAUACAUAGCCGACAUGAGAGGGUGAUUGGCCACACUGGGACUGAGACACGGCCCAGACUCCUACGGGAGGCAGCAGUAGGGAAACUUCGGGAAUAGACGAAAGUCUGACCGAGCAACGCCGCGGGAGUGAAGAAGGUUUUCGGAUCGGAAAGCUCUGUUGUAAGAGAAGAAAGGGUGUGAGAGUGGAAAGUUCACACUGUGACGGUAUCUUACCAGAAAGGGACGGCUAACUACGUG